rnacentral:rRNA from 1 species
GACGAACGCUGGCGGCGUGCUUAACACAUGCAAGUCGAACGGUGAAGCUCCAGCUUGCUGGAGUGGAUCAGUGGCGAACGGGUGAGUAACACGUGAGCAACCUGCCCCUGACUCUGGAAUAAGCCCUGGAAACGGCGUCUAAUACUGGAUACGAGAAGGGUCCGCAUGGGCACUUUCUGGAAAGUUUUUCGGUUGGGGAUGGGCUCGCGGCCUAUCAGCUUGUUGGUGAGGUAAUGGCUCACCAAGGCGACGACGGGUAGCCGGCCUGAGAGGGCGACCGGCCACAAUGGGACUGAGACACGGCCCAGACUCCUACGGGAGGCAGCAGUGGGGAAUAUUGCACAAUGGGCGAAAGCCUGAUGCAGCGACGCCGCGUGAGGGAUGACGGCCUUCGGGUUGUAAACCUCUUUCAGCAGGGAAGAAGCGAAAGUGACGGUACCUGCAGAAGAAGCACCGGCUAACUACGUG